rnacentral:lncRNA from 1 species
AAAAAAGAACCACAUCAGGCAAAUUCUAAAAAUUACUUGCCAUGUUGGUACCACCGGCGAGCUCUAACCCCUAUUAGGAGGAGAGAGGGCAACAUUAUAAUAAUCCAAAAAAUGCAGGAUUGACAUUAUGGCAAUUAGACACAUAGCAAGGUAUUUGCAAAUUCAUGCAAAAUGCAGGAGGUUAUCUUUUUUAGCCUAAAACAAACUAGUAACUCUAUAUUUUUUUUUUCAAAAGAAACCAUCU